GCUGGAUUCUGAGCUGAUGCAAAGGACCUGAUGGGCUAAGUGCCUCCAGCUGACAGGAGUGUGCUCUAAUGUUUAGUGGAGGAAAAAAGCAAAUGGAAGAUCUCUGGUGUAACUGAGCAACCUCAGUGAGCACAGGUUGUUUGGAAAGUGCUGUGAUGAAGAAAGUAGAAGAACUCACUAGCAAUGUAUUUUGAUAAUUUGGACACCACAUGGUGGAUUCUGUGGUACUGCAGCUUUUUCCUUGAAAUGGAAGGAAAGUAUCUGUGGGAGAGGAAAUAUCCGAAAAAUCUUGAAUCUACGUGAGCUCCUAACCAAGCUUCUGUUGUCAUCAGCCCUUGCUUCUCACUUUCUCAGCACCCACGUUCUGCUGUAUUCAGGCAAUUAUCAUGGUUGGAUGAUGUUCAGUAAUGUUG